UGCUUCGGCCGGGAAUCGAACCCGGGCCGCCCGCGUGCCAGGCGAGUAUUCUACCACUGAACCACCGAUGGU
rnacentral:tRNA from 1 species